GAGAGAGUAGAGAGUCAGAACAGAGGGAAAGAGAGAGAGGGAGGGAGAGAAGUCAGAACAGAGGGAAAGAGAGAGAGGGAGGGUAGAGAGUCAGAACAGAGGGAAAGAGAGAGAGAGAGGGUAGAGAGUCAGAACAGAGGGAAAGAGAGAGAGAGGAUGUGUGGAAGUUGCUUUAUAUUUGGUAAUUGGGGGCCUUUGAGCCAUGAUGGGCUGGGUGACAUCAUGACUCUCUGAGAGAUUACUGUUGCUGUGGAGGGAGAGCAAGAGAGAGAGAGAGGAGGGAGAGAUUAGUCAGCAGAAAUGAUUCAGGACGACAUUCAUCUUUAAAUGUACUUCUUCAUUUCUCUCUUUCCCCACUGAGGAAGAUAAAAGGACACACACACACAGAUAGAUAGACAGACAGACAGACAGACAGACAGACAGACAGACA
ensembl:lncRNA